rnacentral:tRNA from 1 species
GGGGAGUUGUCCCGAGCGGCAAAGGGGGCAGACUGUAAAUCUGCUGGCUUACGCCUUCACAGGUUCGAUUCCUGUACUCCCCACCA